AUUGAACGCUGGCGGCAUGCCUUACACAUGCAAGUCGAACGGUAACGGGCCUUCGGGUGCCGACGAGUGGCGAACGGGUGAGGAACGCGUGGGAAUCUGCCCUUCAGCGGGGGACAACACGGGGAAACUCGUGCUAAUACCGCAUACGCUCCACGGAGGAAAGCCGGGGACCGCAAGGCCUGGCACUGAAGGAUGAGCCCAAGUCGGAUUAGCUAGUUGGCGGGGUAACGGCCCACCAAGGCGACGAUCCGUAGCUGGUCUGAGAGGACGAUCAGCCACACUGGGACUGAGACACGGCCCAGACUCCUACGGGAGGCAGCAGUGGGGAAUAUUGGACAAUGGGGGAAACCCUGAUCCAGCGACGCCGCGUGGGUGAAGAAGGCCUGCGGGUUGUAAAGCCCUUUCGGUAGGGACGAAAGCUCUCGACCUAACACGUCGGGAGGUUGACUUAACCUACAAAAGAAGCACCGGCUAACUCUGUGCCAGCAGCCGCAGUAAUAC
rnacentral:rRNA from 1 species